UCCCUCAAGCCGGAUUUGAACCAGCGACCUAACCAGCGCCGCUCUGCCAACUGAGCUAUCGAGGG